rnacentral:rRNA from 1 species
UACGUAGGGUGCGAGCGUUGUCCGGAAUUAUUGGGCGUAAAGAGCUCGUAGGCGGCUUGUCGCGUCGGAUGUGAAAGCCCGGGGCUUAACUCCGGGUCUGCAUUCGAUACGGGCAGGCUAGAGUUCGGUAGGGGAGAUCGGAAUUCCUGGUGUAGCGGUGAAAUGCGUAGAGAUCGGGAGGAACACCUGUGGCGAAGGCGGCCGACUGGGCCGACCCUGACGCUGAGGCGCGAAGGCGUGGGGAGCGAACGGGG